rnacentral:rRNA from 1 species
GACGAACGCUGGCGGCGUGCUUAACACAUGCAAGUCGAGCGGUAAGGCCCUUCGGGGUACACGAGCGGCGAACGGGUGAGUAACACGUGGGUGACCUGCCCCCUACUCUGGGAUAAGCCUGGGAAACUGGGUCUAAUACCGGAUAUGACCAUAUGUCGCCUGGUGUGUGGUGGAAAGCCAGUUACAUUGUUUCUGGCGGUGGGGGAUGGGCCCGCGGCCUAUCAGCUUGUUGGUGGGGUGAUGGCCUACCAAGGCGACGACGGGUAGCCGGCCUGAGAGGGCGACCGGCCACACUGGGACUGAGACACGGCCCAGACUCCUACGGGAGGCAGCAGUGGGGAAUAUUGCGCAAUGGGCGAAAGCCUGACGCAGCGACGCCGCGUGGGGGAUGACGGCCUUCGGGUUGUAAACCUCUUUCGCCAUCGACGAAGCCCCUUCGGGGGUGACGGUAGGUGGAGAAGAAGCACCGGCCAACUACGUGCCAGCAGCCGCCGUAA